rnacentral:rRNA from 1 species
GAUGAACGCUGGCGGCGUGCCUAAUACAUGCAAGUCGAGCGAACGGACGAGAAGCUUGCUUCUCUGAUGUUAGCGGCGGACGGGUGAGUAACACGUGGAUAACCUACCUAUAAGACUGGGAUAACUUCGGGAAACCGGAGCUAAUACCGGAUAAUAUUUUGAACCGCAUGGUUCAAAAGUGAAAGACGGUCUUGCUGUCACUUAUAGAUGGAUCCGCGCUGCAUUAGCUAGUUGGUAAGGUAAAGGCUUACCAAGGCAACGAUGCAUAGCCGAACUGAGAGGGUGAUAGGCCACACUGGAACUGAACCACGGUCCAGACUACUGCGGGAGGCAGCAGUAGGGAAUCUUCCGCAAUGGGCGAAAGCCUGACGGAGCAACGCCGCGUGAGUGAUGAAGGUCUUCGGAUCGUAAAACUCUGUUAUUAGGGAAGAACAUAUGUGUAAGUAACUGUGCACAUCUUGACGGUACCUAAUCAGAAAGCCACGGCUAACUACGUG